rnacentral:tRNA from 1 species
GCGCCCGUAGCUCAGCCGGAUAGAGCGUCAGACUCCGACUCUGAAGGCCGCAGGUUCGAAUCCUGUCGGGCGUACCA